GAGUUUGAUCUUGGCUCAGAACGAACGCUGGCGGCAUGCCUAACACAUGCAAGUCGAACGAGAUCUUCGGAUCUAGUGGCGCACGGGUGCAUAACGCGUGGGAAUCUGCCCUUGGGUGCGAAUAACUUCUCGAAAGGGAUGCUAAUACCGCAUAAUGUCGUAAGACCAAAGAUUUAUCGCCCAAGGAUGAGCCCGCGUAAGAUUAAGCUAGUUGGUGGGGUAAAAAGCCUACCAAGGCGACGAUCUUUAGCUGGUCUGAGAGGAUGAUCAGCCACACUGGGACUGAGACACGGCCCAGACUCCUACGGGAGGCAGCAGUGGGGAAUAUUGGGACAAUGGGCGAAAGCCUGAUCCAGCAAUGGCCGCGUGAGUGAUGAAGGCCCUAGGGUUGU
rnacentral:rRNA from 1 species